CUCUCAUGGGUCUGAAAAGGCCAAGUUAGGGGUUGGGUGCAGAGGCUUAGAAAAGUCUAGGUCUCAGCAUUGGAUAUCCGGGACCCCCUUAUACUCGGCCAGGCUCAGGGAUGAAGCUCCUUAGAGCUGGCCCCAAACCAGGAGCUCCUGGGGCUGAGACAGAUGCAGACCUGCUCUCCUGCCCCUCCUACCAUCCCCUGGCCCCCAUCAUCCAACAGAAGUCCAGGCCAGCCUGCCUCCCGCUCCAGUGGGGCCUCCAUUGCGACCUGAUAGACCUGUAUGGGUGGCUGGCCCCAUAAUCAGCAUCUACCACAUCCCACGCGCAUGGGGUCUCUCACAGCGGCCCCUGCCCAUGGACAGAUGGACUGACCCACAGGCAUCCACAUGUGGUGCUGAAGAAGCCGUGAGGAAAGGGGGAGGUGGGAAGGGCCUCGUCCAGGGUGUCUGGCUGCACAGGAGACAUAGCAGCUCCCACUGGCACCCUGCAUACAAGGGAAAGGCCUCGAAAUGCGCUCACCAAAGCCUCAGAGUUUUAUUAUCAGGAGCUCACAUUCAGGAGCAGGUCUGCUUGUCAAGAGUCCAAGCACGCCUGUGUUCUGUGGCCACAGGAGAGGAGGGGCCGCUUUUAAAUACAAGCCUACUCCUGUCGUUGGACCAGAACAAAGACCUACUGGCCAGAAGCACAUGAGAGGAGUUUCACUCUUGUCGCCCAGACUAGAGCGCAAUGGUACGAUCUUGGCUCACUGCAACUUCCACCUCCCGAGUUCAAGCAAUUCUCCUGACAGAAGUCCACUCAAGCCAGCCAUUGUAGCUAGCAUCGGGGCUCCAGCC
ensembl:lncRNA novel transcript, antisense to C22orf25